AAGGCCCUUCGGGGUACUCGAGCGGCGAACGGGUGAGUAACACGUGAGCAACCUGCCCCUGACUCUGGGAUAAGCCCGGGAAACUGGGUCUAAUACCGGAUACGACCGCCCCCGGCAUCGGGUGGUGGUGGAAAGUUUUUCGGUUGGGGAUGGGCUCGCGGCCUAUCAGCUUGUUGGUGGGGUAGUGGCCUACCAAGGCGACGACGGGUAGCCGGCCUGAGAGGGCGACCGGCCACACUGGGACUGAGACACGGCCCAGACUCCUACGGGAGGCAGCAGUGGGGAAUAUUGCGCAAUGGGCGGAAGCCUGACGCAGCGACGCCGCGUGGGGGAUGACGGCCUUCGGGUUGUAAACCUCUUUCAGCAGGGACGAAGUUGACGUGUACCUGCAGAAGAAGCGCCGGCUAACUACGUGCCAGCAGCCGCGGUAAUACGUAGGGCGCAAGCGUUGUCCGGAAUUAUUGGGCGUAAAGAGCUCGUAGGUGGCUGGUCGCGUCUGCCGUGAAAGCCCGCAGCUUAACUGCGGGUCUGCGGUGGAUACGGGCCGGCUAGAGGUAGGUAGGGGCAAGUGGAAUUCCUGGUGUAGCGGUGAAAUGCGCAGAUAUCAGGAGGAACACCGGUGGCGAAGGCGGCUUGCUGGGCCUUACCUGACGCUGAGGAGCGAAAGCGUGGGGAGCGAACAGGAUUAGAUACCCUGGUAGU
rnacentral:rRNA from 1 species